rnacentral:rRNA from 1 species
AACGAACGCUGGCGGCGCGUUUUAAGCAUGCAAGUCGAGCGGCAAGGGUCUUCGGGCCCCUAGAGCGGCGGACGGGUGAGUAACACGUGGACAAUCUGCCCCCCGGCCGGGGAUAGCCCAGGGAAACCUGGAUUAAUACCGGAUGAGACGGGACCCGCGGAGGCGGGAUCCGGGAAAGGCGCUGCGGCGCCGCCGGGGGAUGAGUCUGCGUCCCAUUAGCUUGACGGCGGGGUAACGGCCCACCGUGGCGACGAUGGGUAGCCGGCCUGAGAGGGUGGACGGCCACAUUGGAACUGAGACACGGUCCAGACUCCUACGGGAGGCAGCAGCUAAGAAUCUUCCGCAAUGGGCGAAAGCCUGACGGAGCGACGCCGCGUGAACGAAGAAGGCCGUGAGGUUGUAAAGUUCUUUUCGGGAGGGGGAACAACCGUGGCAGGGAAUGGCCGCGGGAUGACGUGAAUCCCGGAAUAAGCCCCGGCUAACUACGUGCCAGCAGCCGCGGUAACACGUAGGGGGCGAGCGUUGUUCGGAAUCAUUGGGCGUAAAGGGCGUGCAGGCGGUCCUGCAAGUCCGGCGUGAAAGACCCCGGCCCAACCGGGGGGGCGCGCUGGAAACUGCAGGGCUUGAGUACAGGAGGGGAUGCCGGAAUUCCAGGUGUAGGGGUGAAAUCUGUAGAUAUCUGGAGGAACACCAAUGGCGAAGGCAGGCAUCUGGCCAUGUACUGACGCUGAGACGCGAAGGUGCGGGGAGCAAACA